rnacentral:lncRNA from 1 species
UUAUGAUUAGGUAUAAAAGAAUCACGUAAGGAUUACUUGAAGCAAACCCAUCAUCUCACGUUAGGAAUUCAAACCCCAAAACUUUAAGCUUUCAUCUUACCUUUAGUUUUUUUUUUUUUUUUUAAUUUGCAUAUAAAUUAAUUUCUACUUUUCGUUACUUUUAUUUUGGUAUAGAAGAUUCGUGAUUAUAAAUUUUAAAAACUUAAGUUUUAUAAAGUAGAUUUUGUUAAGAAUAAU